CAGCCGCCAGGGUAAUACGAGGGGGCUAGCGUUGUUCGGAAUUACUGGGCGUAGAGGGCGCGUAGGCGGCCAUUCAAGUUAGAUGUGAAAGCCCUGGGCUCAACCUAGGAAUUGCAUUUGAUACUGUUUGGCUUGAGUUCGGGAGAGGUGAGUGGAAUUCCCAGUGUAGAGGUGAAAUUCGUAGAUAUUGGGAAGAACGCCGGUGGCGAAGGCGGCGACCUGGUCCUUGACUGACGCUGAGGCGCGAAAGCGUGGGGAGCAAACAGGAUUAGAUACCCCUGUAGUCCCUGUCUCUUAUACA
rnacentral:rRNA from 1 species